rnacentral:rRNA from 1 species
GACAGAGGUCCCGAGCGUUAGGCGGAAUUACUGGGCGUAAAGCGUGCGCAGGCGGCUUUGCAAGACAGAUGUGAAAUCCCCGGGCUUAACCUGGGAACUGCAUUUGUGACUGCAUGGCUGGAGUGCGGCAGAGGGGGAUGGAAUUCCGCGUGUAGCAGUGAAAUGCGUAGAUAUGCGGAGGAACACCGAUGGCGAAGGCAAUCCCCUGGGCCUGCACUGACGCUCAUGCACGAAAGCGUGGGGAGCAAACAGG